GAUGAAGAAGAACUUGCUAAAGAAAACAACAAGAAUGCUUCAUCUUCAACAGGUAAAAUUACUUUGAGUGUGACCAAGAGCAAGCCUGAGACUGGUGAAGUUAUUGGUGUGUUUGAGAGUAUUCAGCCCUCUGAUACUGAUUUGGGAGCAAAAGCUCCAAAGGAUGUGAAGAUCCAGGGUGUUUGGUAUGCUCAGCUCGACUCUUAGGCCCCUUUUUCUUUCUUCUUUUAUGAUUGUAAUAUUGUUCCUUGUAAGUUAAAAGAGAGAGUUGCUAAACUUUCUUAUGGAGAGAAACGCUAGAAGGGGUUCUAUUUUAU
rnacentral:misc_RNA from 1 species